ensembl:lncRNA
CAGGAAGCGCUGAACACUUGCGUGCCUGCAUGCAUCCAUGCGUGUGUGCAAGUGCUUUUGUCACUAUCUAUUCAGCAGUGUAACAAGAAAACCAGAUCACCUUACCAAGGGGCAGGGGCGACCUGGUUAAAGAACAAUAGAAACGUGAUUGUUAUUUUUUUGUGAACUCUUUAAUAAAUGGUUUCAGAAGAAGAAGAAGAAGAAGAAGAAGAAGAAGAAGAAGAAGAAGAAUUACAACAAAUAACAAUAACAAUGAUCCCAUAAAUAUGAAUAUAUCUGUUCCUACUACAUAAUUACAGCUUAUUUAUGUUUUUUAAUAUUGAAAUUGAACAGCUAUUAUGUGCGGGAUGUUUGCCUUGAGCAAAGCAAAAGAUAUAUUUUUGCAUUGGCGGAAGAAGAAUUUUAGGUUCAGAUUGAAGACUUUUUAACAAGAACGAUUGGGAAUCAGAGACCAUAAACUCAUCUUUGUGAUCAGAUAGCUGCAAUAACCCUUUUUAAGUGAUGGAUUCAUUGGAAAACGGCAUAAAAACCCUGCCAAAUAAAUCUGGAGUGAGAUGAUAGGAGACGGUGGUAAGAGGAAGGAUGGAACAGCUGGAAGGACUCCUGGGUACACAGCUGGGAUGUGAGGAAUGGAAGACGGCCUCCCUUGAAGAGGAUGUUGAAGCUCUUCAGAGGGAGUGAAAGGAGAACAUCAAGCAGCUUCAGGGCGAGUCGGGCUAGAAGAAGCUUGAGGAGCUCCAUGACUUCCUUAUUCCACCCGAGACUGAAGAAAAGAAUCUCAGGCCCAGGGCUUCUUCGCCUGUUCUCCUCCAAGUGAAGAAGCCCUCAUUGUUAAGCUGGACCUUAACGUAGAGAAUAAUAUAAUGAAAGCUCUUGGGAAAGAGGUGCGUGACAGAUUUACAAUUUAAAGGAUAAGAAUUGAGAAGGAAAUAAAGACUGCCAUCCUAAAGAGUGCAGAGCUGAUAUAACACGGUAUAGAAACUAUGGAAGAUAUGGAAGUGGAUUAAGGCAGAGAGGAGCAGAAGGCAAUGGUCCUACUGAAGAACCUGGAAGAAGAGAUGGAGGAGAAAAGAGUGAAAGAGAAGGCCAGGAUAGAAGAGGAAAAUAAAGCAAAAGAGGAAGCAGCUGGGAUGGAGAAGUUGGACGUGAUGAAGAUGGUGGAGCGAGCAAUGAAGAGGUAAAAAGAAAGACAGAAGGAAGAGGAGCGAACAAAAAGAGCAGGCUCCGCUCCUGAAUCAAGAGAAACAGCACGAGGACAUGGGAGCAAAAGAAGGGAAGGAACCUUGAGCUAAACAAGCUGAAGGAAGAGAAGGAACGGGAAGAACAGGACCGUUGGGCCAAGAUGGAGGAAAAGAGAGACAAUAAGAGAAUUGAACAGGGGGCAAAAUAGUCAAGUGAAGAUGGGCCAAGGGAGAUUGGAGGUAGAAAAAGGGUGAGAUGGAAGAGGCAAAGCAGAGCGAAAAGAAAGGAGCGAAGAGGAGAAGCUGGCCAAGUUAAUAACCGAAGAAAGUGAGAGGAAGGAAUGAAGAUAUGGAGAAGAAAGUCUCAAUGAUGAGUGGAUGAGGGAGAAAUAGAGCCAAAAAGCCAGAAAAGGUAAGAAAAUGAUUUUAAAAAUUGACCAGACUAGAGGAAAAGAAAGAGAAACAAUGGCAUGAAAGGGAAGCCAAGGAAAGAGAAGAGCUAGAAGGAAUGGUGUUUCCUCCUCAUCAUGUGCAGUGGGUGUGGCUAUAGCCAUCUGCUUCCAGUAGUGUUACUUGGUCUGUUUCUGCUGGGUCCUUCUAUGUUUAUUCAAAAUGUCUCUCCGCUAUUGAUACAGUGUAUGAUCUCGAAGCCCUAAUGACCGUCCAGACGUAUGUUCACGGACUGUGGAACCCUAUCCCCCUCAGUGACGGAUAGGCACACAACCUGGAAUCAUCAUCGAUUGAAUCAUCGUCUGAGCUUUCCUCAAGUGAACGUUGCGAGUGGAGCAUAAACCCUACUCCGGUGUUGAUGUAACGGGGCAAACACGGGCGCACUCCAUCACCCAAGGCCACUGGAUACAACCUUUCUCUGGUAUUAUCAACUGUGUGCUUCUCUGUUCAAGCCGACUGUAAACAACCUUACAAAUGAGGUCAGCCCAGGGAUGCGGUUGAUUGGCUGAGUGUCAUCCCUAACUGUUGGAACGCGGCCGUGU